GGACCUUCGGGCCUCUCGCGUCAGGAUAUGCCUAGGUGGGAUUAGCUAGUUGGUGAGGUAAGGGCUCACCAAGGCGACGAUCCCUAGCUGGUCUGAGAGGAUGAUCAGCCACACUGGAACUGAGACACGGUCCAGACUCCUACGGGAGGCAGCAGUGGGGAAUAUUGCACAAUGGGCGCAAGCCUGAUGCAGCCAUGCCGCGUGUGUGAAGAAGGCCUUCGGGUUGUAAAGCACUUUCAGUCGUGAGGAAGGUAGUGUAGUUAAUAGCUGCAUUAUUUGACGUUAGCGACAGAAGAAGCACCGGCUAACUCCGUGCCAGCAGCCGCGGUAAUACGGAGGGUGCGAGCGUUAAUCGGAAUUACUGGGCGUAAAGCGCAUGCAGGUGGUUUGUUAAGUCAGAUGUGAAAGCCCGGGGCUCAACCUCGGAAUUGCAUUUGAAACUGGCAGACUAGAGUACUGUAGAGGGGGGUAGAAUUUCAGGUGUAGCGGUGAAAUGCGUAGAGAUCUGAAGGAAUACCGGUGGCGAAGGCGGCCCCCUGGACAGAUACUGACACUCAGAUGCGAAAGCGUGGGGAGCAAACAGGAUUAGAUACCCUGGUAGUCCACGCCGUAAACGAUGUCUACUUGGAGGUUGUGGCCUUGAGCCGUGGCUUUCGGAGCUAACGCGUUAAGUAGACCGCCUGGGGAGUACGGUCGCAAGAUUAAAACUCAAAUGAAUUGACGGGGGCCCGCACAAGCGGUGGAGCAUGUGGUUUAAUUCGAUGCAACGCGAAGAACCUUACCUACUCUUGACAUCCAGAGAACUUUCCAGAGAUGGAUUGGUGCCUUCGGGAACUCUGAGACAGGUGCUGCAUGGCUGUCGUCAGCUCGUGUUGUGAAAUGUUGGGUUAAGUCCCGCAACGAGCGCAACCCUUAUCCUUGUUUGCCAGCGAGUAAUGUCGGGAACUCCAGGGAGACUGCCGGUGAUAAACCGGAGGAAGGUGGGGACGACGUCAAGUCAUCAUGGCCCUUACGAGUAGGGCUACACACGUGCUACAAUGGCGCAUACAGAGGGCAGCCAACUUGCGAAAGUGAGCGAAUCCCAAAAAGUGCGUCGUAGUCCGGAUUGGAGUCUGCAACUCGACUCCAUGAAGUCGGAAUCGCUAGUAAUCGUGGAUCAGAAUGCCACGGUGAAUACGUUCCCGGGCCUUGUACACACCGCCCGUCACACCAUGGGAGUGGGCUGCAAAAGAAGUAGGUAGUUUAACCUUCGGGGGGACGCUUACCACUUUGUGGUUCAUGACUGGGGUGAAGUCGUAACAAGGUAGCGCUAGGGGAACCUGGCGCUGGAUCACCUCCUUA
rnacentral:rRNA from 1 species